CAGCUUAUAUAGCCAAGACCAGCCAAUCCGGUCAAAGGAUGGUCUAUGCCCCAACCAAUCACAGCUUGUUUCCAGGCAGUUUCCAAAGCCAUCCAAUUACAGCCUGUUGCCAGGCAGGCUCCAUUUGCCAGGUGGGUUUCAAAGCCAUUCCUGAGUAACCGAUGCUCGCUUGCCAGCAGCCAUCUUGGCAUGGCCUUCUCAAAAAAAGAAAGCACAGGCCCCUCUCUCGGGGUGAACCCAUUCCAGGGCAUCCUGCCCUUCACAAAGAAAAGAGAACUCUCCCUGGGGCUCCUGCUGGCUUCUCUGGGAUCGGUCGCAUUAUCGAGAAAUUCUCAAGUUGCUUGUACUUUUGAAAUCAAUUGUUAAUGCUCUCCAUCCUCCAUUGUGAACCAUGAAUCUGAUCUCCAUGGACAAUCUUCAAUGGCCUUUCCAAUCCUAUGGUUUCCAGGACUGGUUAAUGGCACUACAUUUCAAGUACUAUCUGGAACUAUUAAAAUGGCCUCAUAAUUCUAGAUGACUUCAGAAAUCAAAAGAAAAUUGCUAUCUAUUUGGAUCCUCCAUCACCUAAAAGGAAUUCCAGCACAUUAUUUACACUUUGGGUAUUAGAGACAGUGUUGUCUCACUGGAAUAUUCUACUUAAAUUUUUCAUAGUUGUUAAUCUAUGAAUCAGAAUCCCUGAUGUGGGAUACCAACAGACUAUACUGGAACCAUCCAGCCAGCUGUGGAACACGCUCUACCUAUAUAACCAGCUGUGGAGCUUUCUCUACAUUUAUACUCCCAGAAUUUGAAUAUUCUCUUUAAGCUAUGAAUAUCUUUGGCUAAUUAUGCUGCAUAUUAGAAUAUAUGCCAAAGGAAAGGAACCUCCAACAAAGGAACACUUGAGAUUUUGGACUUCUUCUCAUGAGUUAUUUAGAUCAAGGGGUUGAUGUUGUGGCAUUGCAGGUAAAGUUGCUGCCUGUAACACUGGUAAACCUUAUGGGAGCCAGUUCAUGUCCCAACUACUCCACUUCCCUUCAGGCUCCCUGUUAAUAUCCUGGAAAAAUUAAUGGAAUAUGGUCCAAAGUGCUUGGGUUCCUGCCACCCAUGUAGAAGAUUCCAAGAUGAAGCUCCUGACUUGUGACUUCAGGUUGGCCCAGUCCUGGCUGUUGCAGCCAUCUGGAGAGUGCAACUGGUUAUAAGAUAUCUCUGUCUCCCUCUCUCUGUCUCUCCAUUUCUCCUUUUCUCCCUCUCUCCCUCUUUAUCUGUAACUCUGAGUUUCAAAUAAAUAAAUAGAUCCUAAAAAAAAAAAACAGUUAUGAAGUUCAGAAGGGACCAAUAAAUUUCACCUACCAAGUGGAAAUACUAUAUUUAAGAAAGUAGUAGUGCUAAAUAGGAGCACCUUUAAUUGACCAGUUUGUAGUUUUCCAAAUGGUAGACACAGUAGGACACAGGAAACAGUAAAAUCAGCAGAAAUAUAAGUAGCAAGGUUUAUCUAGUUGGUUAUACUUGUACUCAAGAGUUGUGAAGGUCAGAAGGUUAAAAAUACAGAGGAUCAAUAAGCCUCACCUGCCACAUAGAAAUGGCAUAUCCGAGAUAGCAGUAGCACUGGUGCCAGUAGUAUGUCAGAUUUAUAUUUAAAAGUGGGGACUUUGGGGGAUUAUACGCUGUUUUUCCAGUCUACCGUGGCUACAACAUUCUGGCCUUUGAAAUUAAUGAGUUGUGGUUUUAAGAAGCAGUCCACAUACUGUCCUCACUUCUGUCCCAAGUUGCAGGUUCAGGGAUCCUCAAGAUGCUCUUUAUUUUCAGUAAUUUACUACAGGGGCCAGCGCUGUAGCACAGUGGGUUAACACCCUGGCCUGAAGCACUGGUAUCCCACAUGGGUUCAGGCUCAAGACCCGGCUGCUCCACUUCCGACCCAGCUCUCUGAUAUGGCUUGGGAAAGCAGUAGAAGAUGGCCCAAGUCCUUGGGCCCCUGCAUCCGCAUGGAAAACCCAGAAGAAACUCCUGGCUCCUGGCUCCUGGCUUCAGAUUGAUACAGCUCUGGCCUUUGCGGCCAAUUGGGGAGUGAACCAACAGAUGGAAGACCUCUCUCUCUCUCUCUCUUUCUUGCUCUCU